UGUCGGACAAGAGGCAGGAUCGUUGGAUUGGACCAACUCAGAGUCACAGUGUGUCUUACCAUCGGGGAAAAACUGCAGUCAAGACCAACGACAAGGAGCAGAGACACUCCUACCCUGCUCUGGAACGGCUUACGGUCGGUGACAGCAGAGAACCUUCAUCCAACAGAAACAGUGACUACAACUACUGAUCUUUUUCACCAUCUUCAUCAUCACCCAGCCUGUGCCGUUUUCAACGGCCCACACAGGAGAAUGAAACACUCCCUCUCAAGUGAAAACAUGACUGUCGGCAGAGAAAUAAGAGGGAAAUAAGCCAAAAAGCAGACUAUAGCAACUUCACCAAAAAAAAAAAAUCUAGAAAAGAUUGAAUGGACGUUGUGACAUUUUUUAAGAAAUGGGUUUAACUUUUCUUCACCGUUAAAUGCAUUUUGUAAAGCUCAAUUCUAAUUUUAGUUAAGAAUGCAUCCAUUUCCAUAACAAAAUUAGUGACUUUUACGCGACAGAAUACUAGAGCGAUGGCUGCCUUUAAAAGCUCAAGUGUCAUUGAAAGACAUUUGUGUUUGAAAUUCUCUUUGACAUAACUGAAACGUCGUGGCAUCACAAAGAAAAAAAAUGUAUUUUAACAAAUACAAAAGUAGGCUAAAGAAUAGGCUAAAGUGCACAAACAGCUACAGUAUGUACUGUUUGUGAAAAGAUAUAUAUAUAUAUAUAUAUACGUAUAUCCUUAACCACAGAAGACAUUGAAAACUUACAUUUCCUUUCAUCGGUUAAGUAUAUAUACAUAUUGUGUUUUUUCAAUUAAAUAAAGUGAUAUCUGUUAAAUGCAACAUGAUUUGUUGUUUAUGAAACAGGUGAGUGGAACAUUUUGGAGAAGACUGAAAGAGAGAAGGAUGAGAGGGAGACGAAGGUGGUUAGUCAGUGCAGAGAUGUGGUUUCCUCUGCCGUUGACACCAACAUCCUGUUUGUGUUAUUUCUGUCCUGACCUGUAUAUCUUUCCCCCCUUUUUCACUCCCUUGUAGGUCUCUCGAGAAGUUUAUAGAUCAUCUUUUUUUUUUUUUUUAUUGUCUCACUGUCUUCCUAGUUAUGUCUAAAAUCUGGCAACGGGACAAACCGUGGCUCUUGAACAGGUUUAAGUGACCUUUAAGGUCAUGUUGGUCCCCACCCCAUAUUUUUAAGUAACCCAAAUAAACAUGUGAGAAUCUUUGGCUAUCAUUGCCCAAACCAAACGUAAAAACAGGGUGCCAAAAAGCAGACCAGGCAUGCUACCAACCCAUGAAUAACAAUAUUUAUUUCGAUUUUAAGUGCAUGUGAAAAGAAACAAACCAACACCCAGUUAUGGUUACAAAAAAUAAAAAAAAUAAAAAAUAAAAUACCCGAGUUAACCAGAGUUCACAGAUGCGGAGAAAUCACUUCGUAGAAAUAAGAAAUCCAUAAUUUGUAGCCUUAAUAAUAAAUAAAUAAAUAAAUUAAUUAAUUACAAAAAUAACCUCACCUUUAGUGUAGCAAGCAGCAGCUCAUCAGUAAAAUAAUAAUAACAAUCGCAAAUAACAAAUGCAGUUAAUCGAUGGUCAAUUAGCGGUGGCAGUAGAAAAAAUAAAAAAAAAAAAGGCGGCGGACAUAACGAUUGCUUCGUUUAGACAAUUGUAGUUUUUAAAAGUAGU